rnacentral:rRNA from 1 species
AGGGUUUGAUCCUGGCUCAGAAUGAACGCUGGCGGCGUGGCUGAGGCAUGCAAGUCGUACGAGAAAGUCACUUCGGUGACGAGUACAGUGGCGAAAGGGUGCGGAAUGCAUGGACAACCUACCUCCGAGAGUGGGAUAACACCGGGAAACUGGUACUAAUACCACAGGAUGUUGCUGGUCUCCUGGCCGGCAACUGAAGACGGGGACCCUUCGGGGCCUGUCGCUCAGAGAGGGGUCCAUGCCUCAUUAGCUUGUUGGCGGGGUAACGGCCCACCAAGGCGAUGAUGGGUACGGGGCCUGAGAGGGUGUACCCGCACACUGGGACUGAGACACUGCCCAGACUCCUACGGGAGGCUGCAGUUCCGAAUAGUUCGCAAUGGCCGAAAGGCUGACGACGCGACGCCGCGUGGAGGAUAAAGGCCCUCGGGUUGUAAACUCCUGUCGAACCGGGAAGAAAAGCCAAUGGCGAAUAGCCAUUGGUCUUGACGCUACCGGUUGAGGAAGGUCCGGCUAACUCCGUGCCAGCAGCCGCGGUAAUACGGAGGGACCUAGCGUUGUUCGGAAUCACUGGGCUUAAAGGGUGCGUAGGCGGCCAAGUAAGUCAGGUGUGAAAUCCCCCGGCCUAACCGGGGAAUGGCGCCUGAUACUGCUUAGCUCGAGUAUGGAAGGGGAGAGCGGAAUUCCAGGUGUAGCGGUGAAAUGCGUAGAUAUCUGGGGGAACGCCGGUGGCGAAAGCGGCUCUCUGGUCCAUCACUGACGCUGAGGCACGAAAGCUAGGGGAGCAAACGGGAUUAGAUACCCCGGUAGUCCUAGCCGUAAACUAUGGGUACUACGUGGGGGGGUCUUCGGACCUCUCCGCCGAAGCUAAAGCAUUAAGUACCCCGCCUGGGAAGUACGGCCGCAAGGCUAAAACUCAAAGGAAUUGACGGGGGCUCACACAAGCGGUGGAGGAUGUGGCUCAAUUCGAAGCAACACGAGAACCUUACCCGGGCUUGACAUGACCGUGGUACCAACCUGAAAGGGAAGGGACCUUCGCAAGAUGGAGCGGUCACAGGUGUUGCAUGGCUGUCGUCAGCUCGUGUCGUGAGAUGUAGGGUUAAGUCCCGUAACGAGCGAAACCCCUGUCCCUAGUUGCCAUCGGUUCGGCCGGGCACUUUAGGGAGACUGCCGCGAUUAAGCUGGAGGAAGGUGGGGACGACGUCAAGUCAUCAUGGCCCUUAUGUCCGGGGCUGCACACGUCCUACAAUGGGUGGUACAGAGAGAAGCGAGACCGCGAGGUGAAGCAGAUCUCAGAAAACCAUCCUCAGUUCGGAUUGAGGGCUGCAAUUCGCCCUCAUGAAGCCGGAAUCGCUAGUAAUCGCGGGUCAGACAUACCGCGGUGAAUAUGUUCCUGAGCCUUGUACACACCGCCCGUCAAGUCACGAGAGCUGACAGGGCCCGAAGUCGUUUGCCCAACCGCAAGGGGGGCGACGCCGACGGCCAGGUUGGUGAUUGGGACUAAGUCGUAACAAGGUA